rnacentral:tRNA from 1 species
AUUUUUAUAGCUUAUAUAUUAGAGUGUAUCAGUGAAGUUGAUAAGGAAAUAGAAUCAUUUAAAAAUA